CCCCUCUCAGAAUCACACCUGGAGAGUUUCCAGUACUCUCCCAGUCUUGCCUACGGGAGGGAGAGUCAAGCAGAGGCAUACCCCUUCCAUUCCUAGCUUGGGCAGUGGCUAGAGAGUGGAAGGCAAUCUGCUACAAGU
rnacentral:snoRNA from 1 species